GGGUUGUUGGGUGUGGGUGUCAGGGUUGUUUCAAGGUUUCAAUCCUUGAACUCUCGCAUGAUGAUGCAGAAACUCAAAGUAGCCCAAUGGCAACAUCUUAUGGUUUCAAUAUUUUUGUAAACAAUCUAGUCAGCAACACCAACCCUACCUCUUAAAGACACUUCCAACUUCAACAGGAAUUCCAUUAGGGCCACGCAGUUUUCCUAUUAUCAUCCUUAUUCUUAUUACUCAAAUCACCAUUUGUUGUUCUCUCAAGCAAAAGUCCUGGCUUCAGUGCUGGUCUGUGUGGUUUUGUUUUGUCUUUCUCUGUAGCUCCACAGCUAUUCUUCAAGGAAAACUUGCAUACAGUGUAUUUAUAUAUUAUUGUUUGUAAAAAUACAAUUAUAAUUUCUCUUCAUUUUAUGUAUAACUGCU
rnacentral:misc_RNA from 1 species